AUCUGGGUGGCUCAGUUGGUUAAGCAUCUGACUUCGACUCAGGUCAUGAUCUCAUGGUUCGUGGGUUCGAGCCCCAUGUCAGGCU
rnacentral:tRNA from 1 species